AUUGAACGCUGGCGGCAGGCCUAACACAUGCAAGUCGAGCGAGCGGCGGACGGGUGAGUAAUGUCUGGAAAACUGCCUGAUGUAGGGGGAUAACUACUGGAACCGGUAGCUACUACCGCAUACCAUCAGAUGUGCCCAGAGGGGAUUAGCUAGUCGGUGGGGUAAAGGCUCACCUAGGCGACGAUCCCUAGCGGGUCUGAGAGGAUGACCGGCCACACUGGGACUGAGACACGGUCCAGACUCCUACGGGAGGCAGCAGUGGGGAAUAUUGCACAAUGGGCGCAAGCCUGAUGCAGCCAUGCCGCGUGUGUGAAGAAGGCCUUCGGGUUGUAAAGCACUUUCAGCGGGGAGGCGUUACUCGCAGAAGAAGCAACGGCUAACUCCGUGCCAGCAGCCGCGGUAAUUC
rnacentral:rRNA from 1 species